rnacentral:sRNA from 1 species
UUCUCAAACAAGUCAGCAUACUAGCCCCGGGUGUCUGUGAGUUGGUACUAAAUGAUAGAAUGGUACUUAACUCAAAUAAGACUAAAUACUAGAAGAUCUAGUUGAUUUACGCUGGUUUUGUGUUUAAAAACAAAGUAGCUGGUAGCCUAGGAAAAUCAAUUAUGUGAUGCGACAACAUUUUCAACUUCACUCCAGACGUGUGUUUAAAUCUGUGUGUUGACUAGGAAUCUAGGUCAAGGUAAAGGUUCAUGUGAUGUGCAGCAACAAAGUAAAAAAUCAAUUCAUUCUUUAUGUCGACCGGUGUGUUUCAUGAGGGAGUAACCUGUGUAUCAGCUACUGUGUUCAACAGUUCAUUAUAUAUCACAUUGUAACAAUGGGAUUGUUAUUGAAACAAUGGACGUCUAUUACAUCUGUACGCAAGCUGAUGUAAUUAUAUUCAGAUUGUUUGGGUCUCUUUCAUCAGCUGAACUUUGACCUGCAUACAGUGUAGAUUUGUUGUAGAACUGUUCUUCAAGUCUUAUAUAUAACUUAUGACCAAGUUAAUGCAAACAUCCACACAUACAGGAUUCUUAUUAUAAACCAUCAUGAUUGAUGCCAGUUGUAUGUCCUACACAACAUGCGCCUUAACGGUAGUUGCAAUUGUCCUAACAACGUACUGGUUCUUCAGGCGUCGCCAAAAAAGCAGCUCCUGGCAAUGUUACGGGGUCAAAGAUGUUCAAUUCCCGUCAAUGGGUUUUGGAGAUUUCAGAGCUAUUUGUAAACAAUU